AAACGAAAGAAGUUAUAAUAACAAAACUGCUCGCCGGAGUACUACUAGCCAAAGCUUAAAACUCAAAGGACUUGGCGGUGCCUUAUACCCCCUAGAGGAGCCUGUUCUAUAAUCGAGAAACCCCGAUAAACCUCACCAGCUCUUGCCAAUUCAGUCUAUAUACCGCCAUCUCAGCAAACCCUAAAAAGGAGCCACAGUAAGCACGAGUAUACAACAUAAAAACGUUAGGUCAAGGUGUAACCUAUGAGCUGGAAAGAAAUGGGCUACAUUUCCUAUUAAAGGCUACAAAACAACUAACCCACGAAAAUCACCAUGAAAUAGGUGAUUGAAGGUGGAUUUAGCAGUAAAUUAAGAAUAGAGAGCUUAAUUGAACUCGGCUAU
rnacentral:rRNA from 1 species